UCCACUUUGGUUUAGUGGUUCAAGCACCCGUAGUUUGAUUGUUUAGACUCGGGAGAUCGCGGGUUCGAUUCCUGCGAGGUGGCA